rnacentral:rRNA from 1 species
CCCUUAGAUAUCCUGGGCUGCACGCGUGCUACAAUGGUUUGAAGAGCGAGCGUAUCCUGUAUCGAAAGAUAUGGGUAAUCUUAAAAUUCAAAUCGUAAUCGGGAUCGACUCUUGUAAUUAUUAGUCGUGAACGAGGAAUUCCUAGUAAGCACGAGUCAUCAUCUCGUGCUGAUUACGUCCCUGCCCUUUGUACACACCGCCCGUCGCUGCCUCCGAUUGAAUGUCGUGGUAAAUUAUUCGGACUUGACUAUUUAUAUAGUUGGGAAAGUUUUGUGAACCUUAACAUUUAGAGGAAGCAGAANUCGUANCA